rnacentral:tRNA from 1 species
GGGGCGGCGAGCGAAAUCGACGGCUGGAUUGUGAUUCCUGUCGUCGUGGGUUCGAGUCCCAUCAGCCACCCCA